AGUGAACGCUGGCGGUAGGCCUAACACAUGCAAGUCGAACGGCAGCACAGUAAGAGCUUGCUCUUACGGGUGGCGAGUGGCGGACGGGUGACGAAUACAUCGGAAUCUACUUUUUCGUGGGGGAUAACGUAGGGAAACUUACGCUAAUACCGCAUACGACCUACGGGUGAAAGCAGGGGAUCUUCAGACCUUGCGCGAUUGAAUGAGCCGAUGUCGGAUUAGCUAGUUGGCGGGGUAAGGGCCCACCAAGGCGACGAUCCGUAGCUGGUCUGAGAGGAUGAUCAGCCACACUGGAACUGAGACACGGUCCAGACUCCUACGGGAGGCAGCAGUGGGGAAUAUUGGACAAUGGGCGCAAGCCUGACCCAGCCAUACCGCGUGGGUGAAGAAGGCCUUCGGGUUGUAAAGCCCUUUUGUUGGGAAAGAAAAGCAGCAGGUUAAUACCCCGCUGUUCUGACGGUACCCAAAGAAUAAGCACCGGCUAACUUCGUG
rnacentral:rRNA from 1 species